GCGGCCGUGGUCCAGCCUGGUCAGGACUCAGGCCCUCCAAGCCUGUAGCGCGGGUUCGAAUCCCGCCGGCCGCACCA
rnacentral:tRNA from 1 species